AUGGCCACAGCUUCUCAAGGUUUUGACUGCACACUGACUGUAACCACUCCUCCUGCGGUCACAUGGGCAGAUGGAGAGAUGGUAGGAACGUGUGGUUUGUGUCUUCCUCUCCCAACAGCCCCAUGCCCUGGGAGGAGCUGUGUCAGAGAGGGCCUGCAGAGGGGAGUCUCUCAGCAUUUAACACCAGCACCAGAAAGAGAAGGGAGGUUCGAGAUGGUCACCUUUGGGCACCUUGUCCCUGGGCUGUUACAUCACAGUUUGCAACACGUGCAAAAGAGGCACAGCUCAUCCCGAGGGUUGUGUAUGGGGAGUGCUAUCUGUAUUUUACUGGUAGGAGGGGAAAUCCCACAUUAGGUAAUUCUCACCCUGCACACCCAAAAAUCAUGUAGGCACUACUCAGUGAGAGUGGCAAAUUGCAGCUUCUUGUUAUUUGUGUCCACAGCUUGAGCCCGGUGCUUUCCAGCCAGAAUAUCCCCAGCUUGGUUUUCAUCUGCUUUGUUUUCUUUUGUUCACACAAGGGUAAGAUUUCUCCUUUUGCUUAGACUCUAAGCUCUCUGAAUGGGUCUGUCUUAUCCCAUCCCUCCAAACCACUUUGUGCUUUGUCCUCCAGACUCUUCCUCUAUUGAGUAGAGCGGAUGUUGAUACACACUGUGGGCCAGAUUCUUCUAUUCUUCUCAGUUGGAGACGUUCAUAAUUCAAGUUUUGGUGACAGGGUGUUGCCUUAGAAAUGCAGGGUCAUAAUGUGGACUUCCAGUAUUUCUUGUUUCCCAUUUAGACCUCUUAAAAAAAAAAAAAAAAAAAAAAAAAAAAAAAAAAUCAAUCAGAGGCCCUUGUUGUCAAGAGCUCUCUAAAUCUAUGUGAUGAUAUUUUCAUUUACUUUUUAUUUACUAGUUUAAAAUGCCACCCUCUGUGAUUUGUGUCUUGCAGUGUUCACCAGCAGCCUUUAAAUAUAUCAUAGCAAUGAUUUAUCAACAAUUUUCAACAAUUCCCUAUUGGAAGCGAGGUUUUGUGUGAAAAAUUAGGAAUUACAGCACUCUCUCUCACAUCAGGCAAUAGCUUUUGACUAAUAAAUUUUGCACCCAGACAUUUACCACUUCUUUAGUUUGCAAAUGGUGAUCAUGAUUCUUAAUGGUGCAGUGUUAAUAAUAAUUAGAAAAAAAAAAAAGAAGAUGGCUUUCCAGAAUAUGACUAAAUAGGACUGAAUGCUUUGUUCCAGUAUCCAGUAUCAGCUAUUACCAGGCAGUGAAUGAACAUUUAUUCAGCUUUGAGAGGACCACAAAAGAUACAUGAUUAAGACGAAUUUUAAUUAUUAGCUUCCAGUGUGCAAGUGUUGUAGCAAUGCAGUGUGCCCUCGGUGCAGUGCCCUCAAUUUGAGCGACUGCUUCACCUCUGCCCAUCCACAUGUAAUUUCCUUGCUCCAUACAGAGCCCGAUAUUAGUCAAGUUCAAAG
rnacentral:lncRNA from 13 species